ensembl:lncRNA
GUUUGAUAUGGGAUAUCUGCAGUACUUUACAAUUAGGGGAAAAAAUAAAUUUUGAAGAGGUUACAAUUGUCAUGUCAGGAAUCACUUCUGAAACUUUCUUCAAAUAGAACUAUAGUAUAUGACAGAAAAUAUAGCAAAUCUCAUAUCUUGGAGGGAAGGAAAUUAGGAAACCAUUGUUCCCUGUACUUCUCACUCCCCGUUUUCUCUUUAACUAUCAAAAGUAAGCUAUGAAACCAAGGAAGUCUGGAAAUCUAAGCUAGGGCAUACCGAAGCAAAUUGUUUCUCUUCAUGCAGAAAAGAGCUCUAACCUUUGCCCUAGAGAAAGAAAAAAGAAAACCUUUGUGUGUUAAUAAGUACAGAAAAUAACCUAUCUGGACAAAAUCUAUUUAAAAUUUACAAGUGUAUGUUUCUACUCUCUAAACUUAGCCCAAAAUCCAACAGUUGAAACGAGUCAAAUACAUUUAUUGAGCUCCUACCAUGCAUGCCGGGUGCCGCCCUGGGCCUACAAAGGUUAUUUUAGCACAGUUUACCUGACCCCUGAAAGCUCUCAGUCUCGUUGGAAGAAUAAGUUCUUAUUGUUUAGUCUCAAGUCUUCAUUGUAAUAUGUGACCUCGGGCCUUGCAGACCACAACUCAGAUUACUUUGCGCAAAGCUGAGAAAGCUGUAAAGAUGCAGCUCGUCCCCCUGAUUCUCACCCCGCCAUCUCCCUUAAAAAUAACUGCCAGUCAUGCCCGCCCCGGCAAUGGACGCCACGGAGACUUUUAAUUUGGAACGUCUGAGCGAGACUGGGAAGGUGGGGAGGCCAGCGGGUCCCUCCAGGGGGUUCUCUGGACCCGGGACGGGUCAGACCCCCGGAGCAGACAUGGCUUGUCCCGCCCGCCCCGGCGGGAGCCGUCGACCCUACACGGACUUCCCCAGGCUGUCCCCAGCUGUUGCUUUCGGAGCCCAAAAGAAACUGCCCAAGGAAUUCGUUGUUGUUCCUCACUAUCUCCAAAAGAAAGAAACCCCAGAGCGAGGCUAACCACACUCAAGAUUUCGAUGAGGAUUAGAGGCUGGAGGACCGACGGAGCGACCCAGGCAAAACGAUAUUCUUUCUUUCCUUUCCUUCCUUCCCGAAAUAUGGGCCGUCUGGGCCCAGGAAGUGUUUGCACUCCCUUCGCGAGAUGGGGAUGACAGUUGUAAGGUCCCCGAGAGAACUGUGUCCAGUUUUAUGCAUAAACAUUUUUUCUCCGCCCGCGAAAUUCUUCCUCUUCAAUCCACAGGCGGCUUUUUCCCUCUCCGGCCGUUACCCGGCAACACUGACAUCAACACUUCCUCGAGCGUACGUCACAGAGCCGCUGCUUCUGGUAUCUAUUUUACCGAAAAAAUCACCCGCUUUUCGCAGGGUGUCAGGAUGGCCGAGUGGUCUAAGGCGCCAGACUCAAGCUUCGCUUCCCCGCGCUGGGGAUUCUGGUCUCCGAAUGGAGGCGUGGGUUCGAAUCCCACUUCUGACACAUCCUUUUUUUUUCUCCCCUAAUUUCCAAAACAAAUACUGUACCAACCUGAACAGUACGCAUAAACAAUUCACCAACUCAUGAUGCUAAAAACUGACUUUUAAAAUUUUCUCACAGGGACUGCUGUCGAAAAGAUUAAAAGCGGAAGCAUCGCGAUAUUUCUUCGAAGCCUCACGAUUUGAGGCAAAGACACUUAAGAGCCGAGAUUACAAGAGGCUAGUGACGCUGAGGCAUCGGGAGAUAACCUCGAAACCGCAAAAUUGUGCACCUGGGUAGUUCCCGCUCCUGUGGUGCUUGAGGAGAAUGCGGGCGGCGGCCGGGUGCCUUCUCUGCUCCUUCACUCGGGUCGCUCGCUUUGUCCCGGACCCGGGCCCUCCCUGAAUGCUUUCGGUAUUACUGUCCCACCAAUCCCGCUCCCCGGCUGGCCCACGGCAGUGCCGUCUGUAAAUAAACCCUGCACUGAUCCUCUGCCCUCUUCUGCGUUUUCAAAAGUCAUGGGACUAGUUCUCGAACACUUCCUUUGUAAAUUAUGCACAUUCGCACUCACGUUGGCAUCUGAUAAUUAUUGUUUUGUCUCCUCUGUCAAAAUUGAG